GGAAUAUUGGACAAUGGGCGCAAGCCUGAUCCAGCCAUGCCGCGUGCAGGAUGACGGUCCUAUGGAUUGUAAACUGCUUUUAUACAGGAAGAAACACUACUUCGUGAAGUAGCUUGACGGUACUGUAAGAAUAAGGAUCGGCUAACUCCGUGCCAGCAGCCGCGGUAAUACGGAGGAUCCAAGCGUUAUCCGGAAUCAUUGGGUUUAAAGGGUCCGUAGGCGGUUUAAUAAGUCAGUGGUGAAAGCCCAUCGCUCAACGGUGGAACGGCCAUUGAUACUGUUAGACUUGAAUUAUUAGGAAGUAACUAGAAUAUGUAGUGUAGCGGUGAAAUGCUUAGAGAUUACAUGGAAUACCAAUUGCGAAGGCAGGUUACUACUAAUUGAUUGACGCUGAUGGACGAAAGCGUGGGUAGCGAACAGGAUUAGAUACCCUUG
rnacentral:rRNA from 1 species